CCUCCCCCAGCCCGGGCACGGAGUCGCUGCUGCUGCGCAGGAUCGAGGAGCAGAUCCAGAGGAACGCCGGGAAGGAGCCGCAGGCCGGGCUCAGCCCCUCCCCCCCCGAGGAUGACAGCGAUGAGGAAGAGGAGCCCGAGAGCCCCUCCCCCACCCCCGCCCGCAGGAGGGGAAAGGGUGUCCCCAAGGUCCCCGAGGAGGAGGAGGAUGAGGAUGAAGAUGAGGAGGAUUCCGAGGACGCCCUGGGGGAGUUCGACUUCCUGGGGACACCUG